rnacentral:lncRNA from 1 species
CAUGCCAUCGGUUACAAACUAGUUUCUUAAUACGAAAGGAAAAGGGCAAAAAUACCAAAGUUGCAGUAUGGGCGAUGAUGUCAUACACUGGAAAGGUUAGCUUGUAGGAAAUGACAGAAAUAAAAGGGGACCACCACACACACAAACACAAUCGUCAAACGCUUCUAUGCUUUAAGUAGCUUAAAGCAGUCGUGCUCCAAAGCAGAAUCAAAUCAUCAACCAAAAUCUUCAAGACUGUCAGCCGCCAUGUCUACAACUCCUUGCUUUCUUUCAAGCUCCAAAUCGAAUCGUUGCUGCAGGUCUCGAAAACCCAGUUUUCGAAAGCGCUGUUUGUUGAUGGCAAAGAAAGAGAAAACUCGGUUUUACAUCCUCGGACGUUGUAUCGCCAUGCUUUUGUGUUGGCAUGAUCAUUCUAUGUCAGAUUGAGUUCUCCUUCAGCAAGACAGAACCUGUUUCCCAGGCAUCUAUUGCAACUUAGAAAACAAAUCUGGGUCUCAAGAUUCAAAUGAGAUUAAGAGCUGAGGAAUUCGAGAAAGGUCAAGGAAUUCAAGCGCUGGCAACUUUUUCUUGUUCUCCUGCUGGAAAACAAGAUCAAACUGUAAGGAAGGAUAUAUGUUAGGAAACUAGGACUACCCAUGGGGUCAGGAAGGAUGGGAUUGGAUCAAGGAUUCAGGGUCAACCAUUUGUAUGCCAAAUCCAGAGGAGCAAAGUGUAAAUAACAAAAUAUCGAUGAUUAAAACAGUAAUUGACAAAAGUUUAUUCAAUCUCAGCCAGUUCAUAGUUGUGUUCCGAUGAAAUAUGUGAAUAAUUCUUUUAUUAAUCAACUUAAUUAGGUGAUGUUAGUGAUAUUUUUUUUGUCCAAACAGCAUAUUGAUCAUUCUUUUAUUAAAAAUUGUUAGUAGAUAAUCAUGUGUCAAUUUGAUAUAUACAAUAACACAUCAAUUUGAUUACAUCACUAAAAUAUAAAUAUAAAGAAUAUUUUUUACAUCUAUCAUAACUGUCCCUUUUUUUUUCUUAUGAUUUUAAGGUUUUGAUCCUUAAUUCGGAACUUCACGCCAACAAAUGAGAAGAGCCG